AUUUAGUUGAUUUAAGAUAUGUUGUUUUAAUUAUUAGGAAAACAUGAUGGAAAUUUGUGUUUGGUUGAGGUAAAAAAUUGUGUUUCUGAUAACUAAAACUGAGUCUUAGGCUUGUCCUCCCAACAUAAUCAUUAUCAAUUAUUAUUAGCCUCUUAGUUAUCGAUUAGUGAAUUUAAGUACAAAUUUUUAUUCUUGAACAAGUCUUGAAUGAAUGUUUGCAAGCAGGAAAAAUAUUACAGAAAACUGAUCAGGCUGGCGGUGGAGGAGGCAUGGCAAGGCGUGGUGGGUCAAUUUCAACAAGGGCCUUGGGCUUGGCACUUGCGAAUGCAACACCAGAUCAGAAGCAACGAAUAGAGAAGGCUGAGGUAAAUGCUUCCAAGCAUGACUUUCCCCAAGAUUCCAUUGACAAGCAGAGCAGAGGUUGAUGCAUUAGAACUGGAAAAGGAGGUGGCAUCAGAUGAAGAGUUGGAAUAGAUGGAGAAGUAUAUAACCAAGCCAUUUAGGAUAAUGUGAUUAAGGUGAUCUGACCCUGUAAUAUCCUCUGUAUAUAGUUCACCGACAAAUUUUUGUGUAAUAACCACCUUUCCCAGCUGUAUCAGAUGCUUGAUAGUAUACCCCAUCAUAGUCUAGUGCACCCACUUGUAGACUUCCCUUUUGGAAAGUCUAGUUUACAGUAGUGUUAAUUGUAUUUGACAGUUUAUAUUUCUA